GAUGAACGCUGACAGAAUGCUUAACACAUGCAAGUCAACUUGAAUGUUGGGUUUUAACUUCGGUUGGGGUUGCGGACGGGUGAGUAACUCGUAAAGAGCUUGCCUCACUGCUAGGGACAACAUUUUUAAACGAAUGCUAGUACCUAAUAUUAUGAUAAUAGGACAUCCUAUAAUUAUGAAAACUAUAAGCGCUGUGAGAGAGCUUUGCGUCCAAUGAGCUAGUUGGAGAGGUAACGGCUCACCAAGGCGAUGAUGGGUAGCCGGCCUGGGAGUGUGAUCGGCCACACGGGGCCUGAGGCGCGGCCAGUACUCAUACGGGCGGCAGCAGCGAGGACUAUUCGACAAUGGACCGAGAGUCUGAUGAAGCUAUUCUGUGUGCAAGAUGCAGUUUUUCGGAAUGUACAGUGCUUUAAGUUACGAAGAACGACAUGACGGUACCAAAAGAAGAAGUGACGGCUAACUACGUG
rnacentral:rRNA from 1 species